GACGAACGCUGGCGGCGUGCUUAACACAUGCAAGUCGAACGAAGUGGCGAACGGGUGAGUAACGCGUAAUCACCCUGCCCUUCAGAGGGGGACAACAGUUGGAAACGACUGCUAAUACCGCAUACUGAAGGAGGGGAUUGCGUCUGAUUAGCGGGUUGGAGGGGAAACGGCCCACCAAGGCGAUGAACAGUAGCCGGUCUGAGGGGGUGGACGGGCAACAUGGGACUGGGACACGGCCCAGACUCCUAACGGGGGCAGCAAGUGGGAAUCUUCCGGAAAGGAAGAAAGUCUGACGGAACAACGCCGGGGGGGGGAUAGCGGCUUUCGGGUUGUAAAGCUCUGUUAAUCGGGGCGCGGUACCGGAAUAGAAAGCCACGGCUAACUACGUGCCAGCAGCCGCGGUAAUUC
rnacentral:rRNA from 1 species